rnacentral:rRNA from 1 species
UAGCCGUAAACGAUACUCGCUAGGUGUCGGCCACAGUGCGACCGUUGUCGGUGCCGUAGGGAAGCCGUGAAGCGAGCCACCUGGGAAGUACGGCCGCAAGGCUGAAACUUAAAGGAAUUGGCGGGGGAGCACCACAACGGGUGGAGCUUGCGGUUUAAUUGGACUCAACGCCGGGAAGCUCACCGGAUAAGACAGCGGAAUGAUUGCCGGGCUGAAGACCCUGCAUGACCAGCUGAGAGGAGGUGCAUGGCGUAGUCGUGU